rnacentral:rRNA from 1 species
UACGUAGGUGACAAGCGUUGUCCGGAUUUACUGGGCGUAAAGAGCGCGCAGGCGGUCGUUCAAGUCGGGUGUGAAAGCCCCCGGCUCAACUGGGGAGGGUCACUCGAUACUGAUCGACUCGAAGGCAGGAGAGGGAAGUGGAAUUCCCGGUGUAGUGGUGAAAUGCGUAGAUAUCGGGAGGAACACCAGUGGCGAAGGCGACUUCCUGGCCUGUUCUUGACGCUGAGGCGCGAAAGCUAGGGGAGCAAACAGG